AGAACACUCAUUAACUUUAUAAUAUUACAAUAACGUUAUCUGGGUUUGUGAACAAACGUAACAUGUGUGGCUGCAAAUCGUUUUGGACAUUUGUGACUCUUGUUAUUAUGAAAUAAUUGGGAUGAUAUACAGAGAAGUAUGUGUUCGUCCUGCUCCUUUCUCGAUUACCAUAUUUGCUAAGGACAUUGGAGACACUUUCAGAAUUCUACUUCAUGGUGGCAGCGGUGCAGCUAUACAAUUGUUCGUACAUUUGACACAAAUAUAUUCGCGUGUGUCACAGCUAUGUAAACUCGAAACAUUAGGGGUGUUAUGUUGUGCAGGUAAUCCUAACCAUGGGCUCGGUAGGUCGGGGAAUUGUUGCUACGCGUGGACAUCUAUCUUGUUUUUUCUUGCAUACCUGGGACUAUUCAUAACAGAUUUGGUCCUUAUGUGUACUUAAUCAAAAUGAGUUUUAAUCAGUGUCAAGGUUCAGCUGAAGUAAUGAGCCAUAGUGGUUAAAAUAUACGUAGCGGACAUAAUUAAUCAUUAUUGUACAGUAAUAUGACAUAUGAUAAAGGUUUAAACUGAUGUGUCAAGUGUUCGCGUUAUUUGAUUGUACUUCUCUGAUGAACUUAUUUCUUCAUGUUCUAUUUGGAAAUUGUGGUAAUUGGAUUUGCAUUAUCGUUUGUAAUAGCCAUUGUUAAUAAAACUGGAUAUUCGUAUUAUUUAAAAAGAUGUAUAUAUAUAUGCUGUUUGGCAUUUCAUUAUUUAAGUGAUUGUGGAAUACUUUAUAUUUAUGUACUUUUUUUGUAAACUAUCAUGUUUUUUUUAUUUAUUCGACCAAUAAUGUAAUUUUAUGCCCUCGAUAUGUUUUAUAACACAUUUAGUUUGUUUGUAAUGGUUGAGGCAAUGGAAUUGUUUGUGCUAAAACUGAUGUUCGUUUUGAAUUUGUUUUUUCUUGCUUUCAAUUUUGCGGUGAAAUAAAAACAUGAAAAUAUUA